CGCUGGCGGCGCGCAUAAACAUGCAAGUCGAGCGAGGGCUCAUUUCCCGCAAGGGAGAUGGGUUCCUAGCGGCGAACGGGUGAGUAACACGUGGGCAACCUUUCCUAUCGCGGGGGAUAACAGCGGGAAACCGCUGCUAAUACCGCAUGUCGUCACCGGUCGCAUGGCCGGUGAACAAAGCAGCAAUGCACGAUGGGGUGGGCCCGCGGCCUAUCAGCUAGUCGGUGGGGUAACGGCCUACCGAGGCGAUGACGGGUAGCUGGUCUGAGAGGACGACCAGCCACACGGGGACUGAGACACGGCCCCGACUCCUACGGGAGGCAGCAGUGAGGAAUCUUCCGCAAUGGGCGAAAGCCUGACGGAGCGACGCCGCGUGUGGGAUGAAGUCCUUCGGGAUGUAAACCACUGUUGGAGGGGAAGGCAACUGACGGUACCCUCCGAGAAAGCCCCGGCUAACUACGUGCCAGCAGCCGCGGUAAUACGUAGGGGGCUAGCGUUAUCCAGAUUUACUGGGCGUAAAGCGCGUGUANGUGGCU
rnacentral:rRNA from 1 species